GUGGACUAGUGUGGUGGACACUCAGACUUACAGAAGCUGAUAUCAUUUAAAAGGGCCAGUUGUCCAACACCUGCUGUGGCAUCAGGUUACAGCUAGGUGUUGGUCCCACUCCCUUUUCAGCAUCCUCAGUCCCACUGAUUGGCUUGAACUCACACAGAGACCACUGAAGAUCUCACUGAUAUACAUCCCUAGUAGGUUCUACAGGGUGACUGUGAACCCACAGCCAGGUAAAUACAUACAUCUCACUAGAUAUAGACUCUCUGAUCAGCCCUAGUAGGUUCUACAGGGUGACUGUGAACCCACAGCCAGGUAAAUACAUACAUCUCACUAGAUAUAGACUCUCUGAUCAGCCCUAGUGGGUUCUACAGGGUGACUGUGAACCCACAACCUCUCUCUCCCUGAAGGCUCUAGCUCACAUCUCACUCCCUGGUAGAUGUAUAGACUGUCUAGUCUACAAAGUGACUGACAUCUCACUCCCUGGUAGAUGUAUAGACUGUCUAGUCUACAAAGUGACUGACAUCUCACUCCCUGGUAGAUGUAUAGACUGUCUAGUCUACAAAGUGACUAUCUAGUCAACCCCACACCCCAAUAGGUGAAGUCUAUCUACCGUAGUGACUGAACCCACAGGGUAAUGUGUGUCUCCCUGGAAGCCCUGGGUGGCGUCUCACUACACACUAGGGGACUGUUUCCCGGACACAGGUGAAGCUUAAUAAU